rnacentral:rRNA from 1 species
GACAGAGGGUGCAAACGUUGUUCGGAAUCAUUGGGCUUAAAGGGCGCGUAGGCGGGCCUCCAAGUCCGGGGUGAAAUCCUCCCCCCCAACGGGAGAAGAGCCUCGGAGACUGGGGGCCUCGAGGGAGGUAGGGGCGUGCGGAACUAUGGGUGGAGCGGUGAAAUGCAUUGAUAUCCAUAGGAACUCCGGUGGCGAAGGCGGCACGCUGGACCUCUUCUGACGCUGAGGCGCGAAAGCCAGGGGAGCAAACGGG